UUUCCGGUUGAUCCCGCCGCCGGCCACCGCUAUCAAGUUCCGACUAUGCCAUGCGAGUCAAGGUAUCGUAAGAUGCCGGCACACUGCUCAGUAACACGUGGACAAUCUAACCUUGAGUAAGGGAUAACCUCGGGAAACUGAGGGUAAUACCUUAUAAUUGCUUAAAACUGGAAUGUUUAGGCAAUGAAAACUACGGUGCUCAAGGAUGAGUCUGCGACCUAUCAGGUAGUAGGUGGUGUAACGGACCACCUAGCCUCAGACGGGUACGGGCCCUGGGAGGGGUAGCCCGGAGAUGGACUCUGAGACAUAAGUCCAGGCCCUACGGGGCGCAGCAGGCGCGAAAACUGUGCAAUGCGCGAAAGCGCGACACGGGGAGCUUGAGUGUCUUGGCAUAGCCAAGACUUUUAUUAUGCCUAAAAAGCAUAAGGAAUAAGUGCUGGGUAAGACGGGUGCCAGCCGCCGCGGUAACACCCGCAGCACAAGUGGUGGUCACUUUUAUUGAGCCUAAAGCGUUCGUAGCCGGUUUUGUAAAUCUUUAGAUAAAGCCUGAAGCUUAACUCCAGAAAGUCUGAAGAGACUGCAAGACUUGAGAUCGGGUGAGGUUAAACGUACUUUCAGGGUAGGGGUAAAAUCCUGUAAUCCCGGAAGGACGACCAGUGGCGAAAGCGUUUAACUAGAACGAAUCUGACGGUAAGGAACGAAGGCUAGGGUAGCAAACCGGAUUAGAUACCCGGGUAGUCCUAGCUGUAAACACUGCCCAUUUGAUGUUGCUUUUCCGUUGAGGGAAGGCAGUGUCGGAGCGAAGGUGUUAAAUGGGCCGCUUGGGAAGUAUGGUCGCAAGACUGAAACUUAAGGGAAUUGGCGGGGGAGCACCGCAACGGGAGGAAUGUGCGGUUUAAUUGGAUUCACCGCCGGG
rnacentral:rRNA from 1 species